rnacentral:rRNA from 1 species
GACGAACGCUGGCGGCGUGCUUAACACAUGCAAGUCGAACGAUGAACUUGGAGCUUGCUCUGGGGGAUUAGUGGCGAACGGGUGAGUAACACGUGAGUAACCUGCCCUGGACUCUGGGCUAACUUCGAGAAAUCGGAGCUAAUACCGGAUAGGACCCUGUACCGCAUGGUGUGGGGUGGAAAGUUUUUCGGUUUGGGCUGGACUGGCGGGCUAUCAGCUUGUUGGGGAGGUAAUGGCUCACCAAGGCGUGGACGGGUAGCCGGCCUGAGAGGGUGACCGGCCACACUGGGACUGAGACACGGCCCAGACUCCUACGGGAGGCAGCAGUGGGGAAUAUUGCACAAUGGGCGCAAGCCUGAUGCAGCAACGCCGCGUGCGGGAUGACGGCCUUCGGGUUGUAAACCGCGUUUAGUAGGGAAGAAGCCUUUCGGGGUGACGGUACCUGCAGAAAAAGGACCGGCUAACUACGUGCCAGCCGCCGCAGUAAGAC